AGCUGGUCCUUAAAUGUGAAUCUAAUCAAGACAAAAAUUAUGAUAUUCCAAAAAGGACUCAGCCUCCAGUCAGAAAAAUAUAAUUUCUUCCUGGAUAAGAUGGCCCUAGAACACACAAAAACUACACCUACCUCAGAAUAAACAUCAGCACCACAGCCAAUUUCAACAAAGCUGUAAGUGACCUGAGAGACAAGGCAAGAAGGGCAUUUUAUGCUAUCAAAAAGAAUAUCAAAGUGGACAUCCCAAUUCAAAUCUGGCUCAAAAUAUUGGACUCCGUCAUAGAACCCAUUUCUCUUCAUGGUUGUGAAGUCAACCAAGACUUUGCAAAAUGGGACAAACAUCAAACCGAGACUCUGCAUGCAGAAUUCUGCA